rnacentral:rRNA from 1 species
ACGGGUGAGUAACACGUGGGCAAUCUGCCCUUCACUCUGGGACAAGCCCUGGAAACGGGGUCUAAUACCGGAUAUCACUGCCACUCGCAUGGGUGGUGGUUGAAAGCUCCGGCGGUGAAGGAUGAGCCCGCGGCCUAUCAGCUUGUUGGUGAGGUAAUGGCUCACCAAGGCGACGACGGGUAGCCGGCCUGAGAGGGCGACCGGCCACACUGGGACUGAGACACGGCCCAGACUCCUACGGGAGGCAGCAGUGGGGAAUAUUGCACAAUGGGCGAAAGCCUGAUGCAGCGACGCCGCGUGAGGGAUGACGGCCUUCGGGUUGUAAACCUCUUUCAGCAGGGAAGAAGCGAAAGUGACGGUACCUGCAGAAGAAGCGCCGGCUAACUACGUGCCAGCAGCCGCGGUAAUACGUAGGGCGCAAGCGUCGUCCGGAAUUAUUGGGCGUAAAGAGCUCGUAGGCGGCUUGUCACGUCGGGUGUGAAAGCCCGGGGCUUAACCCCGGGUCUGCAUUCGAUACGGGCUAGCUAGAGUGUGGUAGGGGAGAUCGGAAUUCCUGGUGUAGCGGUGAAAUGCGCAGA